UACAGACCAAGUUGUUAAGAGCUAUUGGCGGAUGCCUUGGCAUUGACAGGCGAUGAAGGAUGCGUUUACCUGCAGUAAUCUUCGGUGAGCUGGUAUAGAGCUAUGACCCGGAGGUAUCCGAAUGGGGCAACCCGAUAGACUAAUAGUCUAUCAUUAUAUGCUGAAUACAUAGGCAUAUAAGGCGACACCCGCUGAACUGAAACAUCUUAGUA
rnacentral:rRNA from 1 species